GACGAACGCUGGCGGCGUGCUUAACACAUGCAAGUCGAACGGAAAGGCCCUGCUUUUGUGGGGUGCUCGAGUGGCGAACGGGUGAGUAACACGUGAGUAACCUGCCCUUGACUUUGGGAUAACUUCAGGAAACUGGGGCUAAUACCGGAUAGGAGCUCCUGCUGCAUGGUGGGGGUUGGAAAGUUUCGGCGGUUGGGGAUGGACUCGCGGCUUAUCAGCUUGUUGGUGGGGUAGUGGCUUACCAAGGCUUUGACGGGUAGCCGGCCUGAGAGGGUGACCGGCCACCAUGGGACUGGGAUACGGCCCCGACUCCUACGGGAGGCAGCAGUGGGGAAUAUUGGACAAUGGGCGGAAGCCUGAUGCAGCAACGCCGCGUGCGGGAUGACGGCCUUCGGGUUGUAAACCGCUUUCGCCUGUGACGAAGCGUGAGUGACGGUAAUGGAUAAAGAAGCACCGGCUAACUACGUG
rnacentral:rRNA from 1 species